UCGUGCCUGGCUCCCUGUAUGCCAUCUGCAGAGCUCAUCAAGCUUGGUGGUCUCCGGGGAUGGCGUGCGAGGAGCCAUGCAUGC
rfam:Jatropha curcas cultivar GZQX0401 scaffold473_23, whole genome shotgun sequence.